rnacentral:snRNA from 2 species
AGAUGUGAGGGUGACCUGGCUGUGACACCUGUCACCCCAUUGAUAACUAGUAUUGAUUUGGUUGAUCUGCCUGACUAGGCUGGUGUCCCCUUCCUCCCUCACUGCUCCUUGUGCAUCCCUCUGGAAGCUGCACACUCGAUCAGUUGAAGAGGACUACCAGCCCCAACAGAGGAAGAUUUUCUGGGGGGUGGGGGGAUUUGGAUGAAUGGUCCAAAGAUACAAACUUCCAAUUGUAAGAUAAAGAAGUACCAGGAAUGUAAGUACAACAUGACAGCUAUGAUUAACACCUGUGGGGUAUAUUUGAAAGUUGUU